UCAGUGUUUCAGUGUUUCAGUGUUUCAGUGUUUCAGUAUUUCAGUGUUUCAGUGUUUCAGUAUUUCAGUGUUUCAGUGUUUCAGAGUUUCAGUGUUUCAGUGUUUCAGUGUUUCAGUGUUUCAGUAUUUUAGUGUUACAGCAUUUUAAUGUUUCAGAGUUUCAGUGUUCAGUGUUUCAGUGUUUCAGUGUUUCAGUGUUUCAGUGUUUCAGUAUUUCAGUGUUUCAGUGUUUCAGUUGUUCAGUGUUUCAGUGUUUCAGUAUUUCAGUGUUUCAGUGUUUCAGUGUUUCAGUAUUUCAGUGUUUCAGUGUUUUAGUGUUUCAGUGUUUCAGUGUUUAGUUGUUUCAGUGCUUCAGUAUGUGAGUGUAUGAAAGUUAUACACUCUGUAUUAAUCUGAAAUAUAUGAGUGAGCUGGAGAGUCGCUUCCGUCAGCUGUUACAUGUUUGAAGACCGUGAGGUUUGCUGUUCUUCAGAGAUUAUGAGGAAAUUGUGUUUCCCCCGAGACGGAAGAACGGGUUGCCAAGUAUUUCAGAAUUGGCUCCAAAGCACCAGCGUUCCAGUUAGUACAUUUGUUCUUGUAUGAAUUGUAUUGUUUGUGUGCAAGGGUGUACACUGCCUAAUUCACAGACUCGGGUUGUACAUUUGUAGUGUGAUUUUCUG
ensembl:lncRNA